CUUCUUUUGAAAAGGUUUAUUGUUUUAUACUGAUGUGUUUCGCACAUUUCCUAUACUCCCUCCAGGCUGAACUGCCAACAUUUCUCACUAGAACAAAUGCACCCUAUGAGUUGGAGACUGGUAGUGUGCUCAGUGUAUUUAGAUAAGGGUUUGAAAGUUAUUUUCCCCUGAGCCUACCAAAGUGCAUCCAUUUUGCUCAAACUAUCACCUUUCAUUAAGUCAGUUUCAGGCCGUGGUUUUCUUUCUGUUUGUCAGGGUUGCUGUGCCGAAAUGAUCUUGUACAACAUGAGCGGCCAAAAGUAGGCAAGAAAAGAAGGUGCUGUACAGUCCAUGUGUCCUCAGUCGUCUCUUUGGGUUGCAGUGACAAAAUGAAUUCCUCUCAUGAAAUCUUGUGGAACACCUGUACAAGUUUGCAGAAUACUAGAAGAUAAUAGCUACUUGCAAUCAAUUCUCAAAGUUCACUUGGUAAUGCAAAGCUUGGCCAAGAGGGUGGCCGAAGCCAGAGUCCCCAGCUAACUAUAAGACAUGUAGCAAAGUAGCAGUGCUGUCUGAAGACAUCCUACAUUCCACAGACAGACAUUCUAUAUUCCACACACAGCAUGCUUCAUCCUUGCACGUGUACAAGAUGCUGAUCAAAUUGCAAUAUGCUACACUUUCUACAGGACUUGUGUUGCCAUUGCCAUCUCUAUAGAAGCACUGAAAUCUACAGCUCCCACGAGCUCUUUAUUUUUUUGCCAGCAUUGCCUCGAGCCAAAAGUUAUUAGAAGAAUAGCAGAAUGCCACAGAGACACUAUAGUUUAAUUGCUCAGUUUCAUCAUAUGAGCUCAAGGAAGUGAACAGGUUUACUAUUCUUUCUGAGCUACUGUAAAUUUUGGCACCAGACCCUAAUUUAACCUUAGAUAACGUGGAAAAGAAGGAAAGACACUAAACCACCUUUAACUGGAGACAUCCACCAUGUGCAUACACUACCCUAUGUUGCAACAUUCUAGUUUGUAUCAUAAAGCAUUCCCAAGAUCAAAACCUUAAGAUUAAAAAAGCAUUAAUUCAAGAUUCUUUCAUGUUGGUAUCCUAGUGUCUCACACUGUAAUAGCACAGUAAUUACACAUGUUGUAUUGUAGUUGCAGUCCUGAAGCAAACAACUGAAAGAUAAAUAGCUAGAUUUUGAGUAUCAAUAGCAUGCUGUUUAGUGUUUGCAGUACUUACACUGCUCUGCAAUGCUAAUAUGGUUAAAAUGCUGCAAAUGCUACAAACAAAACAUCAGUAUGGGCCAAACCUCUUUAGAAAACCAAGGCUCACUACAGAAAAAUAUAUAUUUUUUAAAAUCUACAUUUGACCUUAAUAUGCAUCCCUAGUGGGCUAUCAACAAACUACAUUGUGAAAGCAACAGAGCCUGCCUUGUAUUUCAAUCUCUUAUAUUAAAUGUAUCCUUUCGGAUAACAAUUAGUGAAACGCAUAAUGCUUUCUAAAUUGCCUGCAUUGCGAUUCUAAUUUAAUCCACUUGAAAGAAAGGUUUUAAAGUUAGAAUCUGUUUUAAAAAUGAGCACUCCAGGUAGGGAAUCAGUCAAGAUAGCGUUUAUAGACUGCAAUAGUGCAUACUGUUGCAAACAAAAACUGUAUUAAAUUGGGCAUUAAUUGUUGCCCUACGGGGAAUGCCACAUUUGAAUGCAAUGCUUUUGAGAAGGCUAUCUGAGAUUUUCACUAUGACCUUGCCUUAAUGAACGUGCAUGGAUUUUACAUGCAAUAGUUUGGUUAUUUAAAAGACUCAGCUAGUUUGUUGCCCUAUUGUUCAAGGCUAUGUGACAUUCCAAUUUCCAUUAAAUAUAAAACGGCAGCUUUAUACUUGCCAUAAAAGUCAAUGGGGCAGAAAAUGGCGUCAUAAUGGCUUUAAUUAACUUGGCUCCCCAGCAGCCGUUCAUGCAGUUAUAUUUGAACUUGUGCAACUCGUUCCUUUUCAAUGUGUCGGUGCAUCUGAUCAAAGUUGAGAAGAAUUCUGGGUAUAUUUUAAACCAACAUGGCUACAUCACAGCUGUAUUUGUAUUACAUUUGCUUGUGGUAAUUAGCAAUUUAUUCAGAUAGUCAGUCAACAGCAUUGAUAGAUGUAGCAUAAGAAUGUCCUGUUGGAUAAUUACUGUUUGGUCCAGGAUUCUGCAUUCUGGUUCAGCAGGAGCUUCCCUCCGUUGGUUAACCAAGGACGGGUGACAUAGGAUCACUGAACCCCCAUGUUAAAUGCUGAAACGUGGUCAUGAUUACAGUACCUGGAGCCAGAAAAUAUGUAAAAACACUUGUUAUUGAUCUGAAUGUGUUUUUUACACAACUUCCUGUCCACUUUGGAAACUUCUAAUUGGUCCUUCUUUAUAACAUUAGAAGAGACCCCUUCAAAUUGAAGCUGACGUCAAUACUUCCUGCUGGUGUUCAAGCAGUGUUAUGCUUAUUGAUUUACUGUGAUCAUUUGUUUUCUGUUCGUCAGACGUUGGCUUUAGAUAUCUGGUGCAAUAGAUUCCCAAAGGAGGAUAAAGGGUUAUACAAUAUGGUAAGAUGAUUGACGGUUUGAUCAAUAGUUUUUUUUUUUUCUUGUCAACAAAAGUCAAUUAUCUAACAGCAGCAGGCAAAAAUGUCUUAGAAAAGUUUCAGUCCAAAUAUACACUGCUGUGCAAAAGUCUAGACAUGUUGCAUUGUUUCACUCUGAUGCAUUAUGAGCAU